AUAUACACAUAAAUUCAUUUGCAGUGUUGACUGCGCUGUUAAGCCCCAUGCAAUCGAUAACAGCUGUUAUCGACGCAAGUUGCUGUUGCUUCGCUUUGAAUGUUUAUACGUUGCGUACGUUGUUUCGCUGUUUUAUCUUAAGCUGCAGCAACAGUGUCUUCGAUACUUAACACUUAGCUUGUGAACUCGUUUUUGAACCUGAACUCGGGAUGGCGCUCAGCACUGGAAAUUAAAAUAGAUUAUGGAUUAGAAACGUUUCCAUUAGUAAUAAUUUUUAAGCUUACCCGUGGUGGGAGGCGAAGUUAAAGAUGCGGAAGUUUUGAUCCAGUUUUACGAGCUUGGCGACUUCCUCAUCCGUCAGUUUAAAGUCAAAAAUAUCAAGGUUUUGCUUCAAACGCUCGGGAUUCGUGCUCUUAGGAAUAGCUAUAACGCCAGUGUCCACUAUCCAACGGAGAAGCACUUGAGCUGGUGUCUUUCCAUAAGCGGCUGCAAUCUCUUUUAUUUCGGGAACAUCCAUAAGAUCAGGGGAGCUCUCGCACUAUGCCAAAGCCAGCAUUAAACUUAGCGAGACCCUUAGAUCCUAGAGGAGCAUAGGCUGUGAUUGCGAUGCCCUCAGCUUUGCAGAAGUCAACCAGUUCUUUUUGUUGGAGGUAGACGUGGUGUUCGAUCUGAUUGGUAGCUGGACGAAUCUUGGCGGUCUUCAAAAGACGCCCAACUUGUUCCUGGUCAAAGUUGGACACGCCAAUGGACUUGGCCAGACCAUUAGCUACUAACUUCUCCAUUUCCACCCAGGUGGCGGCAUGAUUUGUUCUUAAGUCAGGUAUCGCUAGACCUUGCUCAUCCCUUUUGACGCCACCAUCCUCACUGGCCAUAAGGGUAAAGGGCGUGUGGAUGAGAAACAUGUCCACAUAGUCCAAUUGUAGAUCGGCCAGCGAUUUCUUAAUGAUGGGUUCAACGUCACUGGGAGCGUUGGCUUUGGAAAAAUAGGUAUUUUAUUGAGGAUACUUUAAAGGAACACUUGAAGAUAUGAGCUUACCAUUAAGUGGGAGCUUGGUCACAAUGAAGAGAUCUUCACGCUUCACCCUGCCGGAGUCCAACCAACGUUUAAGGACUCGUCCAAUCGCUUUCUCGUUGCCGUAUCUAGAAGCUGUGUCAAUGUGUCUGUAACCCGCUUCAAGAGCCGCUUCGAUUGCAACUUCGAUUUCCGCAUCAGAAGCCUACGUAUUUUAUAUGAUUAAUAAUUGGGACUCGUUUAUUUUGUUGCUUAGAAUUACCUGCCAGGUGCCAAUGCCGAUCAUAGGCAUUUUGUGGCCAUUGUUUAGAGUCAAGAGUUGAGUGUUUUGUGCCAUAUUAACAAUAUUUUCAAACGUUUGUAAUGAGUGCUUCUACUGGAAUGAUAAGAGAUAAAAAAUUUACCCCAUUACCAAAUAUUCUGAUAUGGAUUUGAUAACACCGCCGAGAUCAAUCGGUUCUGCCGUUGACGAUAAGAACGAUAUUAUCGAAUGAGCUUUUCGAAUGUUUUCGCGCUAAAGCAUUGAUUUUAAAUUACAAAAUAUCAGCAUUUGCCUCAAGCCAAAAAAUGUUUUUUAAAACAUAUGUUUAAUUCAAUCUUCAAGAAAACAAGAACGCUUUUGCUGGAGGGAAUGAAAAAUAGUUUUGCUGACAACUAUAAAGUUCUAACGUUUUUAUAUAUUAUUUUGGAGCAGAGCUAUGGGCAUGCACAGCUACAUAUAG